rnacentral:rRNA from 1 species
AUUGAACGCUGGCGGCAGGCCUAACACAUGCAAGUCGAAUGGUAACAGGAAACAGCUUGCUGUUUCGCUGACGAGUGGCGGACGGGUGAGUAAUGUCUGGGAAACUGCCUGAUGGAGGGGGAUAACUACUGGAAACGGUAGCUAAUACCGCAUAACGUCGCAAGACCAAAGAGGGGGACCUUCGGGCCUCUUGCCAUCAGAUGUGCCCAGAUGGGAUUAGCUAGUAGGUGGGGUAACGGCUCACCUAGGCGACGAUCCCUGGCUGGUCUGAGAGGAUGACCAGCCACACUGGAACUGAGACACGGUCCAGACUCCUACGGGAGGCAGCAGUGGGGAAUAUUGCACAAUGGGCGCAAGCCUGAUGCAGCCAUGCCGCGUGUAUGAAGAAGGCCUUCGGGUUGUAAAGUACUUUCAGCGGGGAGGAAGGGAGUAAAGUUAAUACCUUGGCUCAUUGACGUUACCCGCAGAAGAAGCACCGGCUAACUCCGUG